rnacentral:rRNA from 1 species
GGGAUCCGAUUUUAGCAUGGAAUAAUAAAAUAGGACGUGCGGUUCUAUUUUGUUGGUUUCUAGAGUCGCCGUAAUGAUUAAUAGGGAUAGUUGGGGGCAUUAGUAUUCAGUUGCUAGAGGUGAAAUUCUUGGAUUUAUUGAAGACUAACUACUGCGAAAGCAUUUGCCAAGGAUGUUUUCAUUAAUCAGGAACGAAAGUUAGGGGAUCGAAGACGAUCAGAUACCGUCGUAGUCUUAACCAUAAACUAUGCCGACUAGGGAUCGGACGAUGUUAAAAAUUGACUCGUUCGGCACCUUACGAGAAAUCAAAGUGCUUGGGCUCCAGGGGGAGUAUGGUCGCAAGGCUGAAACUUAAAGAAAUUGACGGAAGGGCACCACCAGGGGUGGAGCCUGCGGCUUAAUUUGACUCAACACGGGGAAACUCACCAGGUCCAGAAAUCUAGA